rnacentral:lncRNA from 1 species
CUGGAAAGACAGGGAAGAAGGAAGAAAAAGCAGAAGGAAGUGAAGGAAGAUAGAAAUACAUCAGUAAAGAACAGAGAUGUAAUGAUAAGGAGGAGGAAAUAAUACAGGUUGCAGGAGAGAAAAUGGGAAGCAGGCUGAGAGGCAAAAAGAGAAGGAAAAUUGUGCAAAGUAGUAAGGAACAGCAAAGAGGAAAGAACCAAAGAGUAGAUCUAUUUUUCCCAGUCUGUUCCAGCAGCCGUUGUAAGGGCAGUCUCUAGAGCAUAUUCUAGGAAGAAUUAAGAUUUCGGCAUCAUACAGCAGGAAGCAAAGAAGAUCUCUUCUCCAAAGYUGCAAGAACUGGCUCAAGUCUGGUCCUGGAUCCCUCUCAUCCGUUGACAAUCACUUCCGAAAGGCAAGACUCAGUAUUGUGAGACACCCCGGCUCCAUUGGAUCACAGUGCCUCCUAGCAAGCCUUCUGCAUAGUCUUCCUCAUCCCCAAAACUAUCCGGUGCAGGAAACGGUCUAACAAGAGCUCUACAAAUGCACAGACCUCUUAACACGUCUCUAAGUAUGAUAUGACAGCACUAAAGAAGUGCACCCUGUCAGUGAGAAAUGCUGRUUACCGUGGAAGGAAAUUAGAACAAGACUUGAGCCAAACUGGUUACCUGACUUUUGGAAAAGUCCUUUCAGUCAUAUUACAACAUUAUAAAUCACCUGCUGAGCGACUGGGAUUCAAGGUGGUUGAUUCCUCACAGUUUCUGCAAGAUCAAAGCCAGUGCAGGAUGUACCCAGGCACCUCGAGAAGAAGGAGCACCAUUAAAGGAUGGCUUUGAAAACCCACCUGAGUGCUUUGCUGAGCAGAAUGCAAACAUGCUAAAUCUGUGCUGAAUGGACGAUGAAGGAGCUACAUGGAGACAUGCACACGCAUGUGCAGUGUGUGUGCAUCCAGGAUCUGUGACAAGUGGCGGACAGUGCAAGACUACAUCCGUCUGUGAGACCUGAAGGAAGCUCACAGCCAGAGCAGAACUAUAGGGAAAAAUUGAGAGGAUGGAGCAAACCAAAGGAAAGGACUAGAAGGAAAGUAAUUCUUCUGUAAUGCCCAGGUUAUUACAAAUUAAAUAGGUCAGCAUGUUGUAAUGUGGUGCAUGGCACAAUCUUCCAGUGGCCCAGGGGGACACAGGAGCAGUCUCCAAACAACCUCCUCUCUCCCUAUUUCAUAAAACCCUCUGAGCAAUGCACCAGCCUUUCAUCCUCUGAGAUUCUGCUUUUCCUGUUUGAUCUUGCACAAUAUAGCCAUGCUUUUCAGAUAUGUGUGCUCUUUC